UUUUGGGUAAAUUUGGGGGUUCCUGGGGUUGAUUUUUGGGUUAAUUUGGGUGGGAUUUAGGGUUGAUUUUUGGUUAAUUUGGGUUGAAUUUGGGGCUGAUUUUUGGGUUAAUUUUGGUUGAAUUUGGG